CAAAAAAAAACCUCCCAACCUUAUCCCCACGCCCGCUCUACGCCAUCCCCGUCCCCUCGUCUCCUUCCUAGGCAGAAGGCGCCGCUGCCACCACCUCCCUCCCCGGCAGCAAGCACCGCCGCCCCCACCUUCCUCCCCGGCGGCAGGCGCUGCUGCCACCACCUCCCUCCCUCGCAGCAAGCACCGCCACCCCCACCUCCCACCCUGGCUGUAGGCACGGCCGCCACCACCUCCCUCCCCAACAGCAAGCACGGCCGCCCCCACCUCCCUCGGGUGGUAGAAGCGCGGCCGCCCCCAUCUCCCUCCCCGGCAGAAGCACCGACCCCAGCCAACGACGCGCCACAACCAUGACCCCAACCGGAGACAUGCUGCACCGCCUGCCGGAGCACCUCGGGGUCGCCAGAUCUAGCAAGGGUCCUUCACCUCCCUCCACUCGCCGGCGACCAUGAGUCCGCUUCCGGAUUGGGUGCUAUGCUGUAGUUGGAGGAGGUAUUGAACUUCAGAUGGAGAAGGGCAUGACCUGCAGCUGGCUGCGCGCAACCGCCGUCCCACGCCAUGGAUCGAGCAGCCGCCAUCCCCAGCAGGCCCCGAGACGGAUCCAUGCCGCUCCUCCCCUUCCCGGUCGAUGCCACUAGCAUAGCUCGGACGGGAACCUCCUCUCAGGUGUUAUCAUCGUAUCAACUAGGGAGAAGUCCAAAGACAGGGGCGCAUGCAGGAAUCGCUCAUCACCGGUGAUUCGUUCCAAGGGACAUCGCCCCAAACGGCGCCCGCUGGUGCACCAAUAGCAGCCCAGUGAGAUACAAAAGUGCGGAUGAUGCUUACUUCCGUCCACCAUGCCUCGCUACGGCGGCGCUUGGAUCCCACCAUCGUGCCACUGGAUCCUCCGCCUUCAAGCCCCUGCAUCUCCAGUGAGCGCUGUGCGCGUACGGGUCCUGAUCCAGUGCAUGUGUCUUCUAUCCAGCAUGUCCCAGCCGCCGUCAUACAAUGCUGCUCCAGCCGCUGCUUUGGCAGUCCAAGUGCCCCACUGAAGUCCGUCCGAGUUCAUCUGUCCGUGCUCCUUCGUGUCGAAGCUUCUGCCAGCAGUAGUGCAGAUAUCUGAAGACCAUUUGGUGUGUCUUCAGCAAACGUUGCGUCGAGCCACUGGCACAUGUUCGCAUCCUCCAUCAUCUCGCUUUUCUACUAUUCCUCAUGUUCUAGCCAUUGGCACAUAUGCAAAGAAAUUGGUGUUUUGGUCUGUUGGUUUCAGUUUAACAGGAGCUUCAGUAAUGGAAAACUUGAGUUUUCUUCCAAGUUUAUCUCGAAAAUGCAUGACAGCCGACGGUCCAUUUAAUCAGAGAUGAAAUACUUUUAGAAGCAAACGAAUGUAAGGCCCUCUCCCCGGGUGGUUUUUACCAGGCGAUGUACUCAUGUCUAGUGCCAUCAGUGUUCACUCAGGGGUGUAUUCCUUUUCUUCAGUUUUGUAUAUAUAGUCGUAGAACUAUGUAACUUGGUCUAAGUACGUAGGUACAGAAUGAGAGGAGGGCCUUCUACUCAGACCGGCCGGCUACUUCUUCAGACUGAUGUUCACAUCUACUCCAGCUAGCACCACUCCUGAAGUGCCCCAAUCAUUGCCGUGCCAAAGAAUAGCCGAUUGUUCGCCCAUAUUUUUUUUCUCUUCUGUAUACACUGCAUGUGAUCUCUGCAUGUUUCUAUGAUUAUAAAGUGUUGCCGUUUGUUGCUGCUGAAUGGUGAGGUGAGCAAGGGGAGAAGAUUAGCUACCAUUGCUAUUGUUUCUUCUUUUUUAUCUCUGAAGUUACGUGAAUCAAGUUACAGGAAAUAGAAGAAAAAAACUUUAGAAAGAAGAUGCUUAUUGAGCUACUAUAGAUGUGUAGCAUUUGGGGCAUGUGGGUGUUGUUUGUAUAUGUACCUGUCAACAUGUUCUUGACAGAAGUUCUAGUGCGUAUAUUUGAGCAAUUCAAAUGA